UCCAGCUUUGGAAUGAGCAGCCGUCCCAGGUGAACAAGUGUUGGGAAAUGAGUUUCUGAUGCAGAGAGGGAGCAGGUGUGAUCUGGACCCUGAUAGGAAGACCACACGUCUG